AAUCGCAAUAGGAUUUGACCUUCCCAGUUCCACAUUCACCUUUUUACAAUAACGUUCACCUUUUCCAUUCAACAGAGACAAAAAACCUAAUUGAAUGUAAUGUUCACUCAUGAUAUACUGUAUAUGAUAUAACUUUGAUAGUGUAGUAACCUGAUGAAUUUCAAUAUUACCUAAAGGUGCUCCGUUAGGGGCAGAAACCACAGUGAAGACUCCUACAGAACACAUUGCAUCUGGUAAAGAAGUUAAUCUGAAAGAUUGGCACCAGGUGAAAGGAUUCAAAGUUCCCUCAGACAACAUCAUUCUGGAUGAAAAGACUGCGCACCCUGCUAUUAGAGUCAAUCAAGGAAAGCGGGCUUUUUACAUGAAAGAAAAAGAUACAGAAAAAACCCUUCUGCAUCUUCAUGUAUUUUCUAAAGAGAGUUUCAGUUCAGGACAACACUUUUGGGAAGUGAAGGUAAAGGAUAAAUCAACAGAAAAACUGUCAUGGUAUGUUGGUGUGGCCAGAGAAAAUGUUGAGAGAAGACCUACAGUUCCUUUAACUACACAGAAUGGUUUUUGGAUUCUUUCUUUUGAUAAAGAAAAAGGUUUCCAUGUCAAUACUGACCCUCAACCACCAAUAACUGUGGCAGAGCUCACUAGUGUGGGAGUGUUUCUAGACUGUGACAGACACACUCUGUCUUUUUAUAAUGUUGAUACAGAGUCACUUCUUUACACUUUUACUGAUGUGAAGACAUCAAACUACUUUCCUGUGUUCAGCCCGGGAAAACGUGACAGAAUCACAAUAAGAAUCAUUUGAAUGCAUACCAAAACCAUUUCACACCACUGAGCCAAGUCGAGCUGUACUGCGCUGGUCUGGUUAAACAUCCACUGUAGUUGCUGUAGCCGUGCCGGAAAGGACAAUGUGAAAAUAGAAUAUUAGAGCCAGCACAGUAUAGGGUGGGUCAGCACGAUAGUGUCAAAAGGGUCUGAGAUGCAGGUGAAAUUCAUGUCAAAUGAAUCAUGCAUUAUACACAUUUUGUGUUAUUCAGUGAUUGUAAAUGUGUAUCUUUUCCCCAAAAUGUUUUUAGACGCCACAAGAAAAAGAGAGCACUAGUAAUGGCGUCUUUUUGUAGGAAAUAACUCCCCCAUGGUUCGUUGAACAAACCCUACUGGAAAAUGAAUAUGUUUUUGGUAGGGUAUUUGGAUAAACGUUGAAACUGAGGUCUGUGGUAAACACAGGCUUAAGAGCUAAUCUUCAUCAGCUAACGUCACUUCGAUUUUUUUAAGCAUUUAUGCAAUCAGAAAAAACAAAGGCUUAAUUCACAACGUUCAGACGUUAUUUUCUGCGUUUAUCCCAAAACUGUAUUCUUUCCCCCUAAGAAUGGCUGAACGAACCAAAACUUACUCAUACAAAUUUUUUUUGGGCUACAAGCUGGUGAGUUUUAUAAAAUCAACCAAAAAUCUUUGACUUUUUUUCUACCUGUAGCUAGAUUAUGAAUGUAAACUGUGAAGCUGCUGUUGUACAAGUUAGCAAUAUCCUUUGCAUUCUUGAAUUCUGUUAAAAUGUUGUCCCAAUUAAUAAAUUACUGUAAUCUGUUGAUAAA